rnacentral:rRNA from 1 species
GAUGAACGCUAGCUACAGGCUUAACACAUGCAAGUCGAGGGGAAACGACAUCGAAAGCUUGCUUUUGAUGGGCGUCGACCGGCGCACGGGUGAGUAACGCGUAUCCAACCGUGCCCACCACUUGGGGAUAACCUUGCGAAAGUAAGACUAAUACCCAAUGAUAUCUCUAGAAGGCAUCGUGAAAGAGAUUAAAGAUUUAUUCGGUGAUGGAUGGGGAUGCGUCUGAUUAGCUUGUUGGCGGGGUAACGGCCCACCAAGGCGACGAUCAGUAGGGGGUUCUGAGAGGAAGGUCCCCCACAUUGGAACUGAGACACGGUCCAAACGUCCUACGGGAGGCAGCAGUUGAGGAAUAUUGGUCAAUGGAC